GGAGGCAGCAAACUGGUCUGUGCUGGCGGCCGGGACCCCCUCGGGGGGGUCAGGGAUGGGCUGGGGGGAGCGGGGCUGGGACCCCCCCCCCAUGAGCCCACCCUGGCAGGGCUCCGUGGGGGCACCAGGAGGAGUUUUAGGAUCCUUUGGGGGGUCCCACCUCGCAGGAAAGGGGGUGGGUGGGGCUUCAGGCGGUAGAGGACACGUGCUACAGGUGGGUAAACUGAGGCACAUGGUGUGGCCCCCCCCCCCCCCCAGGCAGAGGAGACCCCCGGGCUGCCUCUCAGAGUCUCACCACUGCACCCCUUACCUGGAACCCCCCCAGAUUUGUCCCCCCCCACAUUCCCCCUUUUUCCUCCCUGGCUUCCCCCGCUAAGUUCCCCCAUCAAGGUUUUGCCCGUUCAGCCCCUCCUGAGCCGGGCACACCCUGGCACCGGGCUCUGCGUGCAUGACCCCCCCAAACCAGCACCCAAACCCUGCCUUGGUGGGUGCCCACCUCGGGGGUGCUGCCCCAAAACCCCCCAGUGCCCCUGAUGCCACCCCGUGGUGUGGGUGUGAAGCUUGGCACGGGCCGGUGCCAACCAGGGCAGCUCCAGCCGCGGCUCCGCUCCGGCCACCCCGUGCCAAAGCCCUUGAGUCUCUGCCCAGCCCACGCGGCCGUGCCAGCCCCGGGUGGCCGUGCCAGCCUGGCCAUGCCAGCGUCGGCAGUGACAUCUGCCACCGCGUGCCGCCGACGGGCACACGGGGCCGGUGAGGGCACCAGGAGAGGGCACCGCCCGGGGGGCCGGGGGGAUGCAGCCGCCUGCCCGCCCUCUCGGGGGUUCAAUGGUGUGACUCCUUCUCCUGGAGCUGGGAACGUGGCCACCCCUGUGCUGCCAGGUGUGGGGACACAAUGUCCCAUCCUGCCGGGAAUCCGGGGACACGGCCCCUCCUCAUGUUCCUGCAGUUUUUGGGGGUAGGGGGGUGCAGACCACCCCACUUCAUGCUACAAACAUGGGGUUGGAGCCUCCCGAUGGCGCUGGGUUAUAGGGGUGCACGCCCCCAGUCCUGCCUCAGUUUCCCCAUGGCACCCCCCGGUGCUGCCCAGUGUCCCUGAGCAGGGCAGGGGGUACCCCUUCCCCACCCCCCCAUGAACCCCAUUUAGGGACGGUCCCUAAUGGUGGUCGCUGGGGGGGGUUCCCAGCAGUGAAGGGGUUAAGCCCCCUGCGCGCCCCCCCCCCCACCGCCCCCUCGGGCUCCCACGCGUGCUCUGCUCCCACGCGUGUUCCCACUCCCGGCACCCAGGGGAGCACCGGCCCCCACCCGCCGCCCCCGCUGCAGCUCCUGGGGGGCGGCUGCACCCACGGGGGGGUCUUGGGGUGCGGGGGGUCUCGGGGGGCUCAGCCCAGGGCGAGCUGGGAGGGGACACCCGGGAGGAGGGGAGGGACACCCCCGCAGGGCGGAGUGGGGGACACGGAGGGGGAUACCGGGGUGAAGGGCGCUGAGGGGGGGUCCCGGUACCCCCGACCGGACCCCCGCCCAUCCUGUGGCCACGCCCCCUCCGUGCACAGACCCCGCCCCCCCGGCACUCACCCUCGGACCGUGCGAUCGUCCCCAAGAUGCGCUGUCCCCGUAAGGCCCUGUCCCAGUAAGGUCCUGUCCCCGUGGCACCCUGUCCCUGAUGUACCCCACCAACACUGUCCCCGGCACACCCUGUCCCCUCCACGCUCCAUCCCUGGGGCACUUUAUCUUCGUGGGACACUGUCCCCGUGCUGCUCCAUCCCCAGCACACCUUGUCCCCACCGUGCCCCAUCCCUAGGGCGCUUCGUCCCCAUGGGACCCUGCUGGGCACGAUGCUCCACCCCCAGCACACCGUGUCCCCGUGCUGUUCCACCCCCAGCACACCCUGUCCCCGUGGCACCCUGUCCCCACCGUGCCCCCCCACCACGACGCUCUGUCCCCAUCUUGUCCCCUCCCCACGCCGGUCCAUCCCCACACCCUCCGGUGCCACCGCGCCACGUCCGUGCCCAGGGCUCCGCGGUGGGCGCAGGCUCCUCGCCGGUGCCCGCUGGCGGGGGGCGAGCGCUUCUUCCCUCAACCUGCUGCUAUUUUUACUCUCUCCGCGGGAGGAUUCGCUGCUGCGCGGAGCUGCAGCCCCCGCGGCACCGCGGCACGGGCACGGGCACGGGCACGGGCACGGGCACGGCACGGGGUGCCCACGGUGUGCUUGUCCCGGCGACGAGGAGCGGGGCCAUGUGUGCCACACGUGUGCCUGGAAGGUGCCCCCCGUGUUCCGGGCCCCCCCACCCCCCCGUGCCACUCUGCAGGUGCCACCCGCGGGUGACGGUGCGUGGGCGCGGGCGCGGGCGGCGCCUGCCGAUCCCGGGGGGCUGCGGGUGCCGGCGCUGCCGCAGCGUCUUCGUGGGUGGGAGAAGCGGGAACAGCAGCGGGAUGGAGCCCGGGAACCUGUUGCCAUAACGACUCGGGUCCCGGGAUGGGGACGGUGCUCAGAGCCUGGCAGGGGGACACCAGGCACACCCAGGGUGACAGAGGGACCCCUCACCUUGUCCCCAGAUUUUGGUGUCUAUGAAGACACCGGGCUCUGCUGGCGCCUGUCUCUGAUUUGUCCCCAUCCACGUGGUCACUCCGCUGUGCCACAGGCACAAGUUUGUCACCCAGAGCUGGGCUUUGUCACACAGAGCCAAGAUUUGUCACGCAGAUCCAAGAUUUGUCUCCCAGAGCUGGACUUUGCCACCUAGAGUUGGCCCUCGCCACUCAGAGCCGAGAUUUACCACCCAGAGCCGAGAUUUGCCACCCAGAGCCAAGAUUCGCCACCCAGAGCCAGGAUUUGUCACCCAGGGCCGGGCUGUGCCGUGUUUUGCCGGGCUUUGCCGCGUGGUGCCGGGCGGGCGGGAGGCUGGUCCAUGGCUCGGUGCCACUCGGGUAAAUAUUUUGCUGGAGCGGUGGCUGCUGGCCCAGGGCCACCCGCAGCCGUUGGAGCACCGGGAGAUCCGGGGGACGGAGCCAGUUCCCAGCUCCCCCUUCCUCGUUCCUGCUCAGAGGCGGCUUCCAUCGACACCGCCCCGGGACAUCCCAGGAGGGGACGAGCCACGGCUGCGGCUGUGCCCCCUGCAUGGGGACCCCCUGGUUGUGGCCCUGUGGGGCCGGGAGAGGUGCUCUCGAUGUCCCCUGAUCCCUGCCUGGCAGCUCUAGCGCCGAGCGUUGCCCUGGGGGAUGAACCCCUCCCUUCCCCAGGGGAAUAUUUUGUGUCCCCUGGGAUUUUCUGUGGGGAAAGUCUCCAAAAACUGGGCAAGAGCCAGGGCAGGUGGGCACAGCCCGGGGUGAAGACACAGCCCCCGCACCCCCGAAACUCUGGGGGCUGCAGCUGGGGGUGGGGGACCUCCGGCACACAGGGGAUGGGAUGUUUUGGAAGUCCCAUGUCCCCAAGGGUAGGGACUCCCCACUUUCUCCAGAGCGGUGGCCCCGUCCCGUGUGGCACUGAGCAGCCGGGGGGGUUGGAAUUUUGCCACUGCCCACACAGGGGUGGGAGAGGCUGUCCCUCUGUCCCUCUGUCCCCUGUCCCCCCAUCUCUGGGGAGACUCAGGCAUAAGGGACAGGGACACACACGGAGCCACCCGUCCCGGUCCCAACACAACCGCCCACCGCAGGCCGGGUCCCGCACGGCAGGGAAGGGGUUAAGGACCCCCCACAGGUUGGCUGAACCCCCUGGGGGGCUCCCCAAGGGCUCAUUACCGCGGCCUCAGCCCCCCUGCCCGGGGAGGGGGGGAUGAAUAAUUCAGCUCCUGGUAGGAAGACGUGUCCUCCCUCCCUCUCCUUCCUCCUCCUCCUCCUCCUCCUCACCGGCUCUGCCUUCCCCACCUCCCGCCACUCUCAUUCCUCGCCGUACCGAGCCCCGGGUGCCACGGAACUCUGCUCGGUACCGGUGCCAGAGACCCCCCACCGGCUCCGGUGACUCCCGGCCAAGGCCAUGGACCCCAAGGAGCGCAAGAAGAUCCAGUUCUCCGUGCCGGCCCCCCCCAGCAACCUGGACCCCCGCGCCGUCGAGAUGGGCAGGGGACAGGGGACCCGGGGCGUCCCCAGCCGGUGACACCCCGCUGUGCCCCAGAUCCGCCGGCGGAGGCCCACGCCGGCCAUGCUCUU